UUUCCGUAGGUGAACCUGCGGAAGGAUCAUUAUUGUAUAACCGAGGUGCGAGGGCUGUCGCUGACCCGAAACGUCGUGCACGCCCGAGUGCCCUCACACACAUCCAUCUCACCCCUAUGUGCACCACCGCGUGGGUCCCCCUUUGGCGUGUUCGGGGGGGGGCUUACGUUUUCACACAAACUUUGUAUGCAGUGUAGAAUGUAUUUUUUGUUUUUGCGAUCACGCAAUCAAUACAACUUUCAACAACGGAUCUCUUGGCUCUC
rnacentral:misc_RNA from 1 species